AUCACUUCUUAACCUUUUGGUUAAGAACAAGCAUAGUAUCUGUCCUUAUCAGUUUAAUAAAUAUGCUUUAUAUGUUCAAGAAAUUAGAGUAAAAAUAUAAGAAUGAUC
rnacentral:snRNA from 1 species